AUUGAACGCUAGCGGGAUGCUUUACACAUGCAAGUCGAACGGCCGCGCGGACUUCGGUCUGGCGGCGAGUGGCGAACGGGCGAGUAAUGUACCGGUACGUGCCCAGUCGCGGGGGAUAACUACGCGACAGCGUAGCUAAUAUCGCAUCCGCCCUACGGGGGAAAGGAGGGGAUCGUAAGACCUUGCACUUUUUGAGCUGACGGAAUCGGAUUAGCUAGUUGGUGAGGUAACGGCUUACCAAGGCGACGAUCCGUAGCUGGUUUGAGAGGACGACCUGCCACACUGGAACUGAGACACGGCCCAGACUCCUACGGGAGGCAGCAGUGGGGAAUUUUGGACAAUGGGGGAAACCCUGAUGCAGCCAUGCCGCGUGUGCGAUGAAGGCCUUCGGGUUGUAAAGCACUUUUGGCAGGAAAGAAACGUCGCGGGCUAAUACCCCGUGGAACUGACGGUACCUGCAGAAUAAGCACCGGCUAACUACGUG
rnacentral:rRNA from 1 species